rnacentral:rRNA from 1 species
GGUGGUUUGUCGCGUUGUUCGUGAAAACUCACAGCUUAACUGUGGGCGUGCGGGCGAUACGGGCAGACUAGAGUACUGCAGGGGAGACUGGAAUUCCUGGUGUAGCGGUGGAAUGCGCAGAUAUCAGGAGGAACACCGGUGGCGAAGGCGGGUCUCUGGGCAGUAACUGACGCUGAGGAGCGAAAGCGUGGGGAGCGAACAGGAUUAGAUACCCUGGUAGUCCACGCCGUAAACGGUGGGUACUAGGUGUGGGUUUCCUUCCUUGGGAUCCGUGCCGUAGCUAACGCAUUAAGUACCCCGCCUGGGGAGUACGGCCGCAAGGCUAAAACUCAAAGGAAUUGACGGGGGCCCGCACAAGCGGCGGAGCAUGUGGAUUAAUUCGAUGCAACGCGAAGAACCUUACCUGGGUUUGACAUGCACAGGACGACUACAGAGAUGUGGUUUCCCUUGUGGCCUGUGUGCAGGUGGUGCAU